rnacentral:misc_RNA from 1 species
GUCACUGCUAUCGGUCUUGCCUCGAGCUUCUCAUUGAAAAUGGUCUUCAGAGCAUUGCAAUGGGAUGUAUAUAUACAGAGGCUAAAAAUUAUCCUCGUGAACCAGCUGCACAUGUGGCUAUAAGGACAGUACGGCGUUUUCUUGAGAAGCAGAAAGAUAAAAUCACAGCAGUUGUCUUUUGCACAACCACAACAACUGAU